CAAGUGAAUAAGUGCAUACGGUGGAUGCCUUG
rnacentral:rRNA from 1 species